CAUGGAGGUUUGUUUCAUUCCGUGGAUCCGCGCCUGACAGUCAUCUCAGUCGGUUCUGACUGAGCGGAAUGUUUAUGAGGAAGGGAGAGGGGGCGUCACCGAGCGGCCGCCUCCUCAGGCCCCGCUCGGGGGUCGGACCCACAGCGCGGCCGGUGCCUGACGGGACGGACGCUCCCACUGAGCCACACCGGCCGGGCCGAAUCGAUCAAUUAAUGGAACAGAAUCGGAGGUGCAGGAAGAGACCCAAAUCCAACAAUCAAUUUUGUCGGAUAAACAUGUCUCGGAUCAUUAGAAAAAUGUGCGUGAAAUAAUAAAUGGAGCUGGGCCGUGAGACCAGCAGCAGGUCCCGGAGAAAGUCCUGCAGCC